rnacentral:tRNA from 2 species
GCGCCAUUAGCUCAAUGGCAGAGCAGCUGACUCUUAAUCAGCGGGUUCGGGGUUCGAGUCCCUGAUGGCGCACCA